GGAAUUCUAUGUAGAAGGGACAGUGUUUCUGCCUGUCUUCUUUCACACUUUGCACACCCAGGCCAUCUGGAGUGAAAUUGAAGUCUGCCCAGAGCAGCUGGAAGCCCCGGCUGCCCCGCUGCCCACGGAGGCCUCUGAGAAGGCCGACUCCAGAGGCCCUCAGCUCCUUGGAGGGAAGCGCCAACACAGUGUUGUUCAGCAGAUGCCACCGUCUGCCAUGCCCUGGAAUUUGAACCACCAUCUUCUGGACUGACUCAAAUGCAGAGGAAGCCAGGCCUGCCACUAGCAUUUGUAAGACCAGCAGGAGUAUAAUUGGAGAUCCACAUGUGUAUAAAUAAUUAAGAGUGUGCAUCAAGCUAACAAACUGUUUAAUAAAAUACAAUCUAC